rnacentral:rRNA from 1 species
UACGUAGGGUGCGAGCGUUAAUCGGAAUUACUGGGCGUAAAGCGUGCGCAGGCGGUUUUGUAAGCCAGAUGUGAAAGCCCCGGGCUUAACCUGGGAAUGGCAUUUGGGACUGCAAGGCUGGAGUUUGGCAGAGGAGACUGGAAUUCCUGGUGUAGCAGUGAAAUGCGUAGAUAUCAGGAGGAAUACCGAUGGCGAAGGCGGCUCUCUGGUCCAUUUCUGACGCUGAGGUGCGAAAGCUAGGGUAGCGAACGGG